rnacentral:rRNA from 1 species
UGGGGAAUAUUGCGCAAUGGGCGAAAGCCUGACGCAGCGACGCCGCGUGAGGGAUGAAGGUUCUCGGAUCGUAAACCUCUGUCAGAAGGGAAGAAAUUAUAUCAUGCUAAUCAGUGGUGUAUUGACGGUACCUUCAAAGGAAGCACCGGCUAACUCCGUGCCAGCAGCCGCGGUAAUACGGAGGGUGCGAGCGUUAAUCGGAAUUACUGGGCGUAAAGCGCACGUAGGCUGUAUGACAAGUCAAGGGUGAAAUGCCACGGCUCAACCGUGGAACUGCCUUUGAAACUGUCAAACUGGAGUAUGUGAGAGGGCGGCGGAAUUCCUGGUGUAGGAGUGAAAUCCGUAGAUAUCAGGAGGAACAUCAGUGGCGAAGGCGGCCGCCUGGCACAAAACUGACGCUGAGGUGCGAAAGCGUGGGUAGCAAACAGG